CUCAUGUUGGGAUGAAACAAGUUUGUCUUCUAGGAAUUGCCAUUAAUCCAGAUCCUCCAGCCACUAAGUGUAAAGCCGAGAUGGUACCCGUAUGUUUGAUUCCAAAGACCUUGUCCUCCAAGGCCCCCAGCCUCGGGUUCACGAACGGCAAUCUGUGAGCAGCAGGAAGUCAUCCAAGGCCUUUGAGUAGUCAGUCAGUCAGCAGUUUGAGCUUUCCUUGUGUGGAAUUCCAAAUAGCACCUGGGGGGUCUAAGUGGCUCAAAUCGAGACUACAUGAUGGUUUUUUGUUUUUGUUUGUUCCUUUAUUUGCAGGGACCUAUCUAUCUGUACCUUAAUAAUUGGAGGAGAGAAAUAAAAUAAAAAGGCCCUGGAAGACAAGUGUAAUUCAUUGAGGUCUGUGAAAGCAACAAAGGAAGCAAAAGUCAAACAGCUGAAGGAGAAAGCACAUAACCUGGAAGAAUUCUAUGAACAAAGAAAAGUGCCUACA